rnacentral:rRNA from 1 species
GAUGAACGCUGACCGAAUGCUUAACACAUGCAAGUCCACUUGAACUUCGGUUUGGGUGGCGGACGGGUGAGUAACGCGUAAAGAACUUGCCUCACAGAUAGGGACAACAUUUGGAAACGAAUGCUAAUACCUGAUAUUAUGAUUUUAGGGCAUCCUAGGAUUAUGAAAGCUAUAUGCGCUGUGAGAGAGCUUUGCGUCCCAUUAGCUAGUUGGAGAGGUAACGGCUCACCAAGGCGAUGAUGGGUAGCCGGCCUGAGAGGGUGAUCGGCCACAAGGGGACUGAGACACGGCCCUUACUCCUACGGGAGGCAGCAGUGGGGAAUAUUGGACAAUGGACCAAGAGUCUGAUCCAGCAAUUCUGUGUGCACGAUGAAGUUUUUCGGAAUGUAAAGUGCUUUCAGUUGGGAAGAAAAAAAUGACGGUACCAACAGAAGAAGAGACGGCUAAAUACGUG